GGUAAAGGCCCACCAAAGCGACGAUCAGUAGCCGGCCUGAGAGGGUGGACGGCCACAUUGGGACUGAGACACGGCCCAGACUCCUACGGGAGGCAGCAGUAGGGAAUAUUGCACAAUGGGGGAAACCCUGAUGCAGCGACGCCGCGUGAGCGAAGAAGUAUCUCGGUAUGUAAACUUCUAUCAGCAGGGAAGAAAGUGACGGUACCUGACUAAGAAGCCUCGGCUAAUUAC
rnacentral:rRNA from 1 species